rnacentral:rRNA from 1 species
UUGGAGGGCAAGUCUGGUGCCAGCAGCCGCGGUAAUUCCAGCUCCAAUAGCGUAUAUUAAAGUUGUUGCAGUUAAAAAGCUCGUAGUUGAAUUUCGGGGUUCUACCGUUGGUCGGGCUUUGUCUGUACUGGUGUGUAGAAUUUCUACCUUCUGGGGAACCAUCAUGCUAUUAAUUUAGCGUGGUGGGAAACCAGGACCUUUACCUUGAAAAAAUUAGUGUGUUCAAAGCAGGCUUAUGUCUGAAUACAUUAGCGUGGAAUAAUAGAAUAGGACGGUGGUCCUGUUUUGUUGGUUUCUGAAUCACCGUAAUGAUUAAUAGGGAUAGUUGGGGGAAUUAGUAUUCAAUUGUCAGAGGUGAAAUUCUUGGAUUUAUUGAAGACUAACUUCUGCGAAAGCAUUUGCCAAGGAUGUUUUCAUUAAUCAAGAACGAAAGUUAGGGGAUCGAAGACGAUCAGAUACCGUCGCAGUCUUAACCAUAAACUAUGCCGACUAGGGAUCGGACGAUGUUAAUUUUUCUUGACUCGUUCGGCGCCUUACGGGAAAC